UACGUAGGGGGCAAGCGUUAUCCGGAUUUACUGGGUGUAAAGGGAGCGUAGACGGCCUUGCAAGUCUGGUGUGAAAGCCCGGGGCUCAACCCCGGGACUGCAUUGGAAACUGCGUGGCUGGAGUGCAGGAGAGGUAAGCGGAAUUCCUAGUGUAGCGGUGAAAUGCGUAGAUAUUAGGAGGAACACCAGUGGCGAAGGCGGCUUACUGGACUGUAACUGACGUUGAGGCUCGAAAGCGUGGGGAGCAAACAGG
rnacentral:rRNA from 1 species